CAAUAGCGUAUAUUAAUGUUGUUGCAGUUAAAAAGCUCGUAGUUGGAUUUCUGGUGGGAGCGGUUGGUCUGCCCCGCGAGGGGUAGUUACUGAGCCGUAUCCGGCCCUUUUCGGGUUGACCGUGGCUGGCAUUAAUUUGUCGGUGCGGGAGGCCCGUCGUUUACUGUGAACAAAUUAGAGUGUUCAAAGCAGGGUGUUCUUGAAUACAUUAGCAUGGAAUAAUGAGAUAGGACUUUGGUGGUUCUCACUUUGUUGUGGGAUAUUUUGUUGGUUUGCACGCCAAAGUAAUGAUUAAUAGGAGCAGUUGGGGGUAUUCGUAUUCAAUUGUCAGAGGUGAAAUUCUUGGAUUUCUAGAAGACGAACUACUGCGAAAGCAUUUACCAAGGAUGUUUNCAUUAA
rnacentral:rRNA from 1 species